rnacentral:rRNA from 1 species
UACGUAGGGGGGCAAGCGUUGUCCGGAUUUAUUGGGCGUAAAGAGCGUGUAGGCGGUCAGGUAGGUCCGUUGUGAAAACUCGAGGCUCAACCUCGAGACGCCGAUGGAAACCAUCUGACUAGAGUCCGGAAGAGGAGAGUGGAAUCCUGGUGUAGCGGUGAAAUGCGCAGAUAUCAGGAAGAACACCCGUGGCUAAGGCGGCUCUCUAGUACGGUACUGACGCUGAGACGCGAAAGCGUGGGGAGCGAACAGG